rnacentral:rRNA from 1 species
UGUUUUUACAAAAACAUCGCUCUUUGUUGUAUAACAAAUAAGGAGUCGGACCUGCCCAGUGAAUUUUUAACGGCCGCGGUACUCUGACCGUGCAAAGGUAGCAUAAUAAUUUGCCUUAUAAUUGAAGGCUGGUAUGAAUGGUUUGACGAGAAUAAAGCUGUCUCUUUACGACUUAAUAAAAAUUUAUUUGUGGAUGAAAAAGUCCACAUAUGAUUAAAAGACAAGAAGACCCUAUCGAGCUUUAAAAAAUUUAAUGGAAUAUAAAAACAAUUAAAACUUAAAAGUUAAGCUAUUAAAAAUUUUAGUUGGGGCGACCAAGGAACAAAAAAAGCUUCCUUAAAUAUUUUUUUACUAUAUUGGUUUUGAUCCAGAAGUUUCUGAUUAAUAAAAUUAGUUACCGUAGGGAUAACAGCAUUAUCUUUUUUAAGAGUUCUUAUCGAAAAAAAGGUUUGUGACCUCGAUGUUGGACCAGAAUAUCCUGAAGAUGCAGCAGUCUUCAAGGGUUGGUCUGUUCGACCAUUAAUAUUCUACGUGAUCUGAUUUCC